UACGGAGGAUUCAAGCGUUAUCCGGAUUUAUUGGGUUUAAAGGGUGCGUAGGCGGUCGGAUAAGUUAGAGGUGAAAUCCCGAGGCUCAACUUCGGAAUUGCCUCUGAUACUGUUCGGCUAGAGAAUAGAUGCGGUAGGCGGAAUGUAUGGUGUAGCGGUGAAAUGCGUAGAGAUCAUACAGAACACCGAUUGCGAAGGCAGCGUACCGGCGCCCAACUGACGCUGAAGCACGAAGGCGUGGGUAUCGAACAGG
rnacentral:rRNA from 1 species